UAAUUUUUCUCAAAAAACUGUUAACAAACAAUUUUAUUUCUUCUUUCAGGUAAACCAUGAAUACAGCAAUAGUGACUAUUUUUUGUCUGAUGUUGAUUAACAUAAAUUCUGAGGCGAAUGGAUGUAAAUGUGAUCCAUCACAAAGAAAUGCUUUCUGUAGAGCUGAUUUCGGUAAGAUUAAAUAGUGUAUGGAUUUUAUAAUUAAUUUCAUAAGAUUUAAAAAAUACUCAUUCUUUACAAAGGAUGACAACGCUAUAACUUGAAGAUUUAAAACACUUUAUAUGGGGACGAAGUCCCCAAUUACGGUAGAAAAAAAAAAAAAAGGAAAAAAAUCGGGAAAAUUUACCGAAUUUUCAUUCUUCUAAUGAACUCAAAAUCGUUAACUUUUUUUUCAGACUUUUUUAAAUCCCCGCAUCUGCGCAGAAAUCUACUUCCUUUUCCGGUCUUGUUGGCAUGAGAAUUUGAAUAAUAUAUAUAUUUAUCAGUUAACUAAGAUAUAAGAAAGGAACUCAAUACCAAUUCAUCUUUAAUAAUUGUUUGAUACAUAAAAAACGUUAUCUGAUGACAGCAUUUCUUUUUUUACAUUGAAUAUGACGUCAUAACUUAAAUAACGUCACAAUUAAAUCCCUAACCACAGAACCAAAAUCGGAAACGUUACGGUAUUUCCGUUUUUUUUAUGAACAUGUUUGCAUUAAAAAAAAACAUACAGACUUCGUUCCCAUUAUUAAGUAAUGCCUGCCUCAUAUUAAAUGUCAUCUGUUGGACAUUGUUGGAUGCGCUCUUUUGAAAGAAAUCUUCAUCAUUAAGCCCGGAUAGAUAUAUACAAAAAUAUUAAAAGCUAUCAAACCAAAUAACAGCAAUGAACAAGAGAUUUCCGCAAAUGAAAAAUGGCCAAAAGAAUAACAAUUAAUUGAACAUUUACAUUUUACAACUUGCUGUUUGAUUAUAGGUUUAUUCUGAAUUGAAACAUAUUAUAGAUGAAAACAAUUCUUGCAUCUUUUUGGGGAUAUCAAUCCAGGAAAGUGGGGGGACAUCAUGUUUACUGGAAGUGGUGCGGCCUAGGUAAAACAGCAAACAGAAAGUAGACAAAAAAUGUUUUGACUUCAGCGUUACGUACCUUUUUAUUCUUCGUGGCAUGAUCCAUUUUGUUUCUCGAUUAAAUCACAAUUUCACAUUAGUACAUACAUGAUAUGAACAUGAUUUAUUUUUUUAUGUAGCAUUUUGUUUUAUUUUCAAAGAUCAGCUGUUUGCAUGUAAGCUUAUGGAGCAGUCAACUACAGACUGCAACCUAAAGAUUUAUCAGUACAUGUAUUACCAUCUUACAUAUGAUUAUGUACCUUGACAAGCCUUAGUCAAACUGAAUUUAUUCACCUCUUAUGAUGAUUUUUAACUCACACUUUCUUCAAUGUUCUCCAAAUUGAAAAUCUCACAAAAUGUGUCAGACUUUUGAAAUACAAAUAUGUUUUUUUCCCGAUAAAUAUGGAUUUUAGGAAUAUCAUUUGGAUGUAUCUGCAUAUAUUAUGUUGAUUAAACUACAAUGCUGUAUGUUUAUACGCAAAUCAUAUCUUUUGAGCAAAUGCUUUUAUUUUCAUUGAAGUAUCACGCGGAAUUGUCAAACAGAAGAGGACAUUUGCAAGUGGUGGAAUUGAGUAUGAAGUGGACGUGAAAGAUAAUUUUAAGGUAGACAAUUUGACAUAAUGUUAUUAAAUGUAAUACUAUACGUUAUGGGUGCUAUAACUGUUUGAGACCCGCCUUGGUUAAACAUUCCCUUAAACCUAUAGUUGUUUACAUCUGCGACAUAUGCUAUAUGGGGAAUAGUUGUGUUGUUGGCAGUAAUACAACAUGAUCCCACGAAUUUGGAUGUCUAGCAGAAUCUAUCAAAUUACUAUCUUCAUAUAUUCACAAUGACAUAUCUAUAUUAAUUGUUUUGCAUUUAUUUAUCAAUAUUGAUGUCUGAGUAACUAUAAAUAACAUAAAAAAAAUUAAUACAGGGUCAGAUAUAAUACCAAAAUACAAAAUUCUAUAAACUGUACAUUUGAUUUAUACCAGUUACUUGCAAACUUUAUAAUCCAUGUGUGUCAAUUGAAUUAUGUUAAUCCCCAAAACUUUAAAAGAUUGGGCCAACACAGCUGCCACGUGCGGUUGGAAAUUAAAAACUCAGUGUUGGCAUGCUAGUCAUACAUUAGGUUUGUUACCUCCGUAUCUUCAGUAUGCCUUCGUAAUAUACAAAUAUUGUCAAUAAUUUUAAUAACGGCCGGGAAACAGACUAGUCAUACAUUGGUUUGACUGCGUCAGCCAAUCAGCCAGUGAGGGCACUCUGGUGAAUAAUUAAUCACCCUAAAUCAUUACAUAUCACUAUAUUUGAAUUUAUGGAUAGGCUGUUUUAACUAUGUUCAAAUGUCGCAAAUAAAUAAGUGAAAGACAGGCCAAUAUAACAAAAAACAUAUAUGGCGGGAACCCAAUAAUUUCCAAAAAAGAUCGAGACUAAUUUGCCGACGGGGUUUAACGUCUCCUGUUAAAAUUGAAUGUAAUCUGUUUUCGGAGAGUCUCUUAGUAUACUGACAAAGUUUUUAAGUUUAAGUUUUAUAAAUGUAUAUACUGUGGGUGUAUUUACUCCUGUAGGAACCCAUUUUUUAAUAUUUAGGUAACUUCGUAUUUAUCGUGAAUAUUUGAGUUCGCUUUUCGGUUAAAGCCUACAAGCCUCUAAAGAUGUGUAUUUAAUUGAACAUUGAUAUAAGUGUUUAAUUUACGCAAGGAAUCCUAUACAUUUUUAUUCAUCUGAUAAUUGACUCAUCCGUAAUCGUGAAAGUUUAAUAACAAUUACCAUAAGAUUCUUCUAGAAAAUGCUAUACCGAAUGAUUUUUUUAAACUUUGCCAAGAAGAUUAAAUCAAAAAUAAUAAUCAGGAAUAUAACAAUAUCAACAUGCGUACAUGUAAAAAUAAACGUUUGGAAAAUGAAUGAUUAAUUUACAUACCAAAGAGAUAUUCAAAAUCUGAAAUACAUUAAUUCCAGUAUAAUCUGGUGUAAAUACAUAUCAGAUGCUCUCGAUAGAUUAACAGAACUUAUACAUUCCUUAAGGUUUUCAAUAUUGAGAAAAAGGAAGAAAAGGUGAGUUAAAAAUCAUCAUAUGAGGUUAAGUAAUCCAGGUUGACGCAAAUACUAUUAUGUUUUUUGUUAAGGUACGUAAUCAUAUACAAGAUGGUUUUAUAUUUCAAAAACGUGUGAAUAAACAGUUACUGAUGAAUCUUUAAGGCGUAAAUCCUACUAAAGCAGACAAAUUAACCAUUCGUAUUUUUUAUGCUCGUUUUUUAAAAGAAUCAGAGAUAGAAGGUUCCCUACGAUGUACAUUAUGAGAUGUAAAUCUAAGAAAAAGGAAGUACAUUUAGAAGGUCGAUUUUAAUUGGAUGUUAAUGACAAAAAACUACAACUAUUUGAUAUCUUUGUUCUAAAUUACAGAUCAAAGUCAAGAACCCAAUGAGACUUCGGUCUAAUACAAAUACAUGUGGAGUGAGUCUAACGACAGGAACUGAAUAUUUAAUUUCGGGUGAGUCAUUCUAUCAAAUCUGUUUUCUCCUUUCUACAAAUCAUAUCUGGAUGUGACUAUAGAAUGGGAGCAGCUCGUGCGUAUUAUUUCUUGGAUUUAUGAAUAUGUUGGCCUCAUGCAUCGACUGCAAAUGAUAUAUCAAUUGUCCAUAUGUGCGUUUGGUGCAGUCAAAUCGUCCAAGUAUCACUUUAAAUGACAAUUUCGUUUUCUAAAACAGUGUUAUUUUUUUAUCAUUUCAUUUUGAUAUGGUUGUACAGAAACAGUUCAGGUUAUGACCCUUUUAAAUAAAUAUCCCUUAUGGAUGUUUAAUCUUCUUGUUUUUGAGUUUUUGUCAGUUAUUCAGAAUCAGUUUCAAAAUUUAGAGUGAAUUGUUUCUCGCGCUAUUUGCAAUGGUUAAUAUCACGAAAACAAGCUCAUACUUCCUUUAUUUUCUGCUUUUUAGUUACAUUAUUUACAUACUACCAAUUUAUAACAGUCUUUCAAAAAGCUUGGUAUUAUGAAACAGGGAAGCGAACAUCCUUAAACAUUUGAAACUCAUUUAUAUUUAUAAAAGUGCAAUUUGUAAGCUACAUCUAUCAGAUCAACCAAUUAAUAUCGUUUUUCCUGCUGGCUUUGCAUUGUGUUUUUAAAAUACAAAACAAUGUGUCAGAUAAUUAAACGGAUUAAAUCGUUUAUAACAAAAGUACCAGGUGUAUUAUCUAAUACGCCAUUUUCGUCAACAUGCGACUCAUCAGUGACGCUCAGAUCAAAAUAGUAAGAAAUCUAAACAAGUACAGCAAUGACGAGCGUUUAGGACUAAAAAUUUUAAAAUGUUGUGCCAAAUACAGCUAAUGUAAUAUAUGACUGGGAUUAGAAAAUCCUUAGUCUUUCGAAUAAAUCAUACUCUUGCAAACAGUAUAUUUAUAAAAAUGACCCUACAAUUUAUAUAUUAAUGUCAAUACCGAAGUGCUGACUACUGGUCUAUGGAUUCCUUUGGGGACGAAACGUCGACCAGUAGUGGCAUCGACCCAGGAAUGUAAAUUAUUAUCAAAGAUACCUGGCUCAUUAAGAUGUCUAUCCGUAAGACAAUACAUAUACCAUAUAAAGAAACAUUAAGACAUAUAUAGCAUUGUUAUGUUUUCUUAUUUCAGGGGAAGAAAGGAAAAGCCCAUUCCUUACAUUUUACAAAACAAAUGCCUGCUUUUGGAUACAAAAUUGGAGGGACGUACCAAUUACAACACAAAUAGCACUUGCAACAAAAAAGUUUCCUAAUUGUUAAAAGAAAUAAAGCACAUCACUAUUUAUAGACUGUAUUGGUUAAUUUGGCAUAAAAGAAAUG
rnacentral:lncRNA from 1 species